rnacentral:rRNA from 1 species
CCUACGGGAGGCAGCAGUGGGGAAUAUUGCACAAUGGGCGAAACCCUGACGCAGCAACGCCGCGUGAGUGAGGAAGUAUUUCGGUUUGUAAAGUUCUAUCAGCAGGGCAUAGAAUAGCAGGAACCAGAAAAAGAAGCCCCGGCUAACUACGUGCCAGCAGCGGCGGUAUUACGGAGGGGGCAAGCGUUAUCCGGAUUUACUGGGUGUAAAGGGUGCGUAGGCGGAAUGGCAAGUCAGGAGUGAAAACCCAAGGCUCAACCAUGGGACUGCUUUUGAAACUGGCAAACUGGAGUGCGGGAGAGGUAAGGGGAAUUCCUGGUGUAGCGGUGAAAUGCGUAGAUAUUAGGAGGAACACCAGUGGCGAAGGCGUCUUACUGGGCCGUAACUGAUGUUGAGGAUCGAAAGCGUGGGUAGCAAACAGGAUUAGAUACCCCAGUAGUC